AUCCAACACCCUUCUCCAUUCCAACCUGUCAGAAGCUCUAAUUGAAAAACAUACAGAAUAUCCAUCCAGUGACACUACUCACAGUGGGCAGUAGGGGGAGGUAGUGACACUAUUCACAGUGGGCAGUAGGGGGAGGUAGUGACACUACUCACAGUGGGCAGUAGGGGGAGGUAGUGACACUAUUCACAGUGGGCAGUAGGGGGAGGUAGUGACACUACUCACAGUGGGCAGUAGGGGGAGGUAGUGACACUACUCACAGUGGGCAGUAGGGGGAGGUAGUGACACUACUCACAGUGGGCAGUAGGAGGAGGUAGUGACACUACUCACAGUGGGCAGUAGGGGAGGUAGUGACACUACUCACAGUGGGCAGUAGAGAGAGGUAGUGCAGUAGGGGAGGUAGUGACACUACUCACAGUGGGCAGUAGGGGGAGGUAGUGACACUACUCACAGUGGGCAGUAGGGGAGGUAGUGACACUACUCACAGUGGG
ensembl:lncRNA